rnacentral:pre_miRNA from 11 species
UGAAGAAAGCGAUGUUGGUGAGGUUCAAUCUGAAGAUUGAUUUAUGCUUGAAUGUAAAAACUGAUCUCAGAUUGAGCCGCGCCAAUAUCACUUUUCUGUGG